rnacentral:misc_RNA from 1 species
AAGUCGUAACAAGGUCUCCGUAGGUGAACCUGCGGAGGGAUCAUUACAGAGUUCGUGCCCUUACGGGUAGAUCUCCCACCCUAUGUUAUUAUUACUACGUUGCUUUGGCGGGACGUUGAGGUUAGCCUCUCCACCGGCUUCGGUUGGUGCGCGCCCGCCAGAGAACCCAAAACCCUGAAUAUUAGUGUCGUCUGAGUACUAUAUAAUAGUUAAAA